rnacentral:lncRNA from 1 species
GGGAACCAUCCAUGGAGCGUACUCUCCCUGAAUAUUUGACCUGUAGACAUAGAGAAGUUAUGACGCCAAAAAAUUUCGUACAAGUGGAGUGAGGGGAAGAGUAGAAUGAAACGAGGGGAUGAGUGGUAUGAGAGUAGAAUUAGAAAUGGGGAACAGAGAAAACACCAAAGUA